rnacentral:rRNA from 1 species
UACCAGCACCCCGAGUGGUCGGGACGUUUUAUUGGGCCUAAAGCAUCCGUAGCCGGUUCUACAAGUCCUCCGUUAAAUCCACCUGCUUAACAAAUGGGCUGCGGAAGAUACUAUAGAGCUAGGAGGCGGGAGAGACAAGCGGUACUCGAUGGGUAGGGGUAAAAUCCGUUGAUCCAUUGAAGACCACCAGUGGCGAAGGCGGCUUGCCAGAACGCGCUCGACGGUGAGGGAUGAAAGCUGGGGGAGCAAACCGG